GCACUGGUGGUUCAGUGGUAGAAUUCUCACCUUCUAUGUGGGAGACCUGGGUUUGAUUCCAGCCAGGGCA
rnacentral:tRNA from 1 species